UUUGUUAAAGUUUGGUUUGCUCUUUUGUCUUAAAGUUUGGUUUGCUCAUUUGUCUUAAAGUUUGGUUUGCCCUUUUGUCUUAAAGUUUGGUUUGCUCGUGUCAAACGAGGUUUCAAAGUGUAUUUUGUAUUUUGUAUUUUGUGGUACUUACGAUGAUUUCUCUUGUGCAAAACCAUAGAGCCUGAUGUCUCAUAAUGAGAAAUGUGAUUUUGGAGAAUUUUUGGUUUAUUUUGAAGAAAAUGUAUUGAAGAAUAAAAAAUUUACAAUCUCAAUAUGGGUAAUGGGUUCAAUGUCACCGAAAUUUCAUCUAUCUUAUUGAUGAAUUGUGUUUUUUAAAUCUAAAUAUUAAAAUCCUAUGGUUGGAGGAAUUUUAUUUUUGAUAGAAUUUACUUGGUGAAAAGGACAUGCAUCAAAGUGAAUAGAGGAUCAGUUGCUGUGAGUAUCGAUGGAGUGUGUUAAUUUUCUUAUACCCAAAUACAGCUGUAUCAGUUCUACCUCAAUUGCGAGUCAUGCAGAACACAAAGAUUGUUGAACCAUUCACAGCACACUAUGUUUUUGCCCUUGGAAUUGCAAGGUUCUUGAGUUGUGCACAUUGGGUCCUCCAGGUUUGUUGGGAUUUUGACUUCUAAGAUGUUUUUAUCAUCCAAUUCUGAAAAUAUUUAAAACUAUUUUAUCAUAAUAUCCUCUAAUUGAGUAUCAUCAAUAAUUUUCAUAUUUAUAC